AGUCCAUGUGUCAGUGGAUGGGGCAGGCUAACCCUUUGUAGCUGAGAAGAGGACGUCCCACACUUCAGAGGUAGGAGGGAUCAGACUAGUCUCCAGUGAGGCCUCUGUCCCUGGCUGUGCUCACUGGACUGAAGACUUGGGCAGACACAUGGGGAGCAAGUGGCAGGAACCAGAAAUGGAGUAGUUUUCAUGAUACUUGCCUUGUCCUGAGGCCUUUCCUUUAGAAGCUUUGCACCCCAAGUUUAAUUCUAGCCUUUGUGUUUGUUGCAAUUUACAGACACGUGGCCAACCACCAACUUACCUGCAACGGCAGAAGGAUCUGAAUCCAGUUUGGCCCUCAGGCUGGUGAAUGGAGGUGACAGGUGUCAGGGCCGAGUGGAGGUCCUCUACCGAGGCUCCUGGGGCACUGUGUGUGAUGACAGCUGGGACGUCAGUGAUGCCAAUGUGGUCUGCAGGCAGCUGGGCUGUGGCUGGGCCAUGUCGGCCCCAGGAAAUGCCCGGUUUGGUCAAGGCUAUGGACCCAUCGUCCUGGAUGAUGUGCGCUGCUCAGGACACGAGUCCUACCUGUGGAGCUGUCCCCACAGUGGCUGGCUCUUCCAUAACUGUCAGCACAGUGAAGAUGCUGGGGUCAUCUGCUCAGCUGCCCAGUCCCAGUCGACACCCAGGCCAGGUGAGUCCCCAGUGUCCUUCCUCGGGAUGUCUCUUCUCUUUCUGCACAAUUGUCCUUUUCCCCAUGUGACAGAGUCCUCCUUCUGAUCUGUGUGGAUACUCUGGGUCAUACUAUUUCCCCUGCUCUAUAACUGAGACCCCAGCAUGGCGCUUCUUAGCCAGCCAUGGUUAAGAAGGUAUGACCUUUCAGAGAAUUAAGAGUUAUUGCCAAAGUCACUGAAUAGGCAAUGUCAGUUGAAACCUUAAAUAUGACUUUGUCCGUGGACAAAAGCAGUCUCAGUGCAGGCCUGAAACCUCCAUUCCUCACUCAUUCAAACACCCCCAGAUUCUGCAGGGCCCCGUCUGUAGCCAGAAAGGCAGAGGCCGUACUCGGGCAGGGAGAGAGAUAAUAGACAUUUCUGGUGCCUCCAUUUUCCAGGAGAAUUUAUACUCUUUUGGGCGGCUCCCCGAUCCUUCCAACAUUUUAGCUCCAACUACAGUUGGAGUCUCAGCAAUGGUGUCAUAUGUGCCCAUCAGUCCAUGUGUCAGUGGAUGGGGCAGGCUAACCCUUUGUAGCUGAGAAGAGGACGUCCCACA